UGGACACUGAUUUGGUCUUGUGUGAAGUGCAAUUUGCUUAAUGUCACCUGCUCUUCUGAAUUUGUUUAUAGAAGAUCAAAAAGAUGACUAUGAAGAACAGAAAUACAGAGACCGCAAAAAUAAACUUUUUUUGAGUCAAGUGGCCUACUACCUGGGCUGCCGGCAUAAGACGGAAGUCCCCAGCUUUCUGUGUUGUGCCCAAAAAGUCAACAUGGUGGCAUCUGGCAGGCCUCCUUUUAGAAUAAACCGAGAGGUGAACGUUCCAGAAGGCAUUGAGAAAUCCGGCUCACAACAGGAAGAAAACAAACCGAAUGUCGGAGCCAGCAAAAACAGACUUCUUCUGAGCCAGGUGGCCUACUUCCAGAACUACCGGAUGAAGACAGACGAUGAUCGAAAAGAUCACGAUGAAGAACAAAAAUACAGAGACAGCAAAAAUAAACUUGUUAUGAGUCAAGUGGCCUACUACCUGGCCUGCCGGCUGAGGAUGAAAGGUGAGUUCUGUAGGUUCACCAUUACGGAAGUCCUGGACAGUGUUCUGUCUUGUCUCUGACAACUGCUCUACUCUCUUCUUCAGUCUAAUUUUAUCACUCCCAGACUUCUAGGAAGGUAGCAAUUGGUAUUUUAACAUUUUCUUAAAGACGUAACACACAGGCAAAAUUAUUUAGCAACUUUCCACAUCUGCAAUAAGACAGGUGUGAGAUUGGGUGAACAUCCCAGAUACUGAUUUCCAACACAGGAACCAAAACACC
rnacentral:lncRNA from 13 species